UAAAGUUGUUGCAGUUAAAAAGCUCGUAGUUGAAUUUCGGGGUUAGUAGGUUGGUCGUGCCACUGGUAUGUACUGGCUUUACUGAUUCCUCCUUCUUGAAGAACUGUAAUGUCAUUAAUUUGAUGUUGCAGGGAAACAGGACUGUUACUUUGAAAAAAUUAGAGUGUUUAAAGCAGGCUAACGCCUGAAUACAUUAGCAUGGAAUAAUGAAAUAGGACGUUUAAUCCUAUUUUGUUGGUUUCUAGGAUUGACGUAAUGAUUAAUAGGG
rnacentral:rRNA from 1 species